UGCGUAGGUGGUGGGGUAAGUCUCGUGUGAAAGCUCGCAGCUUAACUGCGAAAAGUCACGGGAUACUAUUCCGCUGGAGGCUUGGAGGGGGGACUGGAAUACUUGGUGUAGCAGUGAAAUGCGUAGAUAUCAAGUGGAACACCAGUGGCGAAGGCGAGUCCCUGGACAAGACCUGACACUGAGGCACGAAAGCCAGGGGAGCAAACAGGAUUAGAUACCCUGGUAGUCCUGGCUGUAAACGGUGCACGUUUGCUGUAAAAGGAAUCGACCCCUUUUGUGGCGAAGCUAACGCGAUAAACGUGCCGCCUGGGAAGUACGGUCGCAAGAUUAAA
rnacentral:rRNA from 1 species